AAUCACCUUGAAAUUUAAUUUCGGUCUAUUUUGGACACACGGAAUUCCCGCAUGUAUUUAGAAAAAAGUUAAAGAAAUUGACAGAAGUUCAGAAACAUUUUCUGUCAGUCACAUGUAGACAUUAGAAUUAACUAUGUGAUAAUAAGCAUAUGCACUCCAUCUACAAGUUUUCAAUAACCAAAUGUCAAUACUAUAGUUCUAACUAGCUCCAGUAUUCUAGUCUACACUAACGUCUUUUUAUUUUUCCUAGUCUGAAUCUAUAUAUGAAAUCUAGAAUCUUUGAGUAGAUCUAUACAUGGGCGUAACCAGAAAUGUUUGGGGAACGUUGGGGUGGGGGUAUUUUUUCGAUUCCAUUAAAUUUCUUUCCCUUCUUUAUUUUCCUUGAACAAGUUUGUAUUGCUUGAAGAAUAUUGAAACACUUAAAACGUAAUCAGAGUUAUGAUUUUUCAAAUUAAAUAAAAACAAAUCUGUCAUGUUGUUUUUUUUUA